GCCUCCCAGAGUGCUAGGAUUACAGGCGUGAGCCACCACACCCGGCCGGUAUGGGGGUUUUAACAUAUGUUCACAAACUCUUUGCUAUUCCUCCCUUCAGAAGAUGACACCCUUUGUAGGUAGUAACACUAAUAAAGAGAAUGUGGUACAAGUAACUGUUUUAGAAUUUCAAAACUAGGUCAUAAAAGGUAUUGUGGUGGAAACCUUCCCCCUUCUCCCUGAGAUCACUUGCUCUGAAAGACGACAGUUACCAUGUGAGCACACAGGCCCUACACAAAGGUCCACCAGGCAUGAAAAUGAAGAUUCCAGCCAACAGUCCAGAAAGGACCAAAGGCCUCCAGUCAUUAGCCACGUGAGAGAGCCAUCUUGACAUCAGAUUCUCCAGCUCCAAUCAAGCUUUUAGAUGACAGCAACCCCAGAAACCCUGAGCCAUAGUCAGCUAGAUAACUACUACAGGAAGGUAGACUAGAAGUAGGAGCCUGAGAAAAAGGCCAAGGGACAUAGGGCAGAGAGAAGGUAUAUGAAAGCGUGGAGAAGUGUAGAAUUGCUCCUUGAGGACAGGAAGUUUGUCUGUUUUGUUGAGUACCAUAUCCUCAGCACAUAGAAGCCUGGGAAGUCUGGCACCCAGCAGACACUCAGGAGUAUUUGUUGAGCUCGUCCCAGCUGCUCUAACUGAAUGCUCACUGUGAAUCUGCAGUGAAAGAAGUGGUGUGAUGUGGCGCUGCCAGCAGAAGGACGUUAGCAGCUGGUACGUACAAGUGAGGAAAUCACCCAAGCUCUUCAGCUGAAAUCACAAGGUUACUGAGAACCCACAAGCAACUCAAGUUGCCUACUCUGAUAACAAAUCAGCCUGUUCAAGGGCAAACUCUCUCCUUGACAGCUGUCAUCCAUUCAAUUUACGGGAGGGCUGGGAAACCUUCCACAGACUGUUUUCUUCCCUUUUAAUCGCUGUCUUGCUUUUCGUUCAGUAAAACAGACUGUACCUGACU